GGGGCCCGCCCCGAAGGCUGGUUUGGGCCGGGAGGGGCGAGGGGGUGAAAGGGUAUAGAGAAAGCUCUCAGCACCAACCACUUGGAGUACUGCAGGGGCGGGGAGGGCAGCGGAAGGCUCGUCUAGUUAGUACCCCGCGUGGGACCACGUGAUUGGAGAGGUUCGGCCCUAACCCUUUCGAGUCAGGUGUUCGAAUCCCGUCUCCAGAACUGGCGGCGUCCCAUUCCCGUCGGCGCGAGGCGCCAGAGGACCCGCCUUGGGGUUCAUGGCAGCGCCGGUCCGCAUGGGCCGGAAACGCCCGCUGCCGGUUUGCCCCAACCCGCUCUUCAUACGCUGGCUAACCGAAUGGCGGGACGAGGCAGCCAGUAGGGGGCGCCGAACGCAAUUCGUGUUUCAGAAGGCGCUGCGCUCCCUCCGGCGGUACCCACUGCCUCUGCGCAGCGGCAAGGAAGCAAAAAUCUUACAACACUUCGGAGACAGGCUCUGCCGUAUGCUGGAUCAGCGGCUGCAGCAGCACAGAGCAUCAGGCGGUGACCAUGCUCCAAGUUCACCAUCUGGAGAGGAGAGUCCAGCUCCAGAAGGGCCACUUGCCACAGCCCAGGACUCUUCCGUGCCAGUUUCAGCCCAGCCCAAAGCAGGAGGCCGUGGCAGCUACCGGCCCACUCGGCACUCAGGAGCAAGGGCAGUCCUGCUUCUGCUCUACAGGGAACACCUGAAUCCUAGUGGUCAUGGCUUCCUGACCAAGGAGGAGCUUCUGCGGAGGUGUGCCCAGAAAACUCCCAGGGCGGCCCCUGGGAGUGCUCGACCCUGGCCAGCCCUCCGCUCCCUCCUCCACAGGAACCUGGUUCUCAGGACACACCAGCCAGCCAGGUACUCGUUGACCCCUGAGGGUCUGGAGCUGGCCCAGAAGCUGGCUGAGUCAGAGGGCCUGAGCUCACUGAAUGUGGGCCUCGGACCAGAGGAGCCCCCUGGGGCGGAGCCAGAAGAGCCAGGAGCAGCCUCCGCUGAGCUUGGCGCCAGCGAAGGGAGUGCCCAGCAGCUGUCACUGGAGCUCAGGCCUGGAGAGUACAGGGUGCUGUUGUGUGUGGACACCGGUGAAGCCAAGGGGGCCGGGCACAGGCAAGAGCUGCUCCUCGAGCUACAGCGGCUGCGUGUCACCCACACGGUGCGCAAGCUGCACGUUGGGGACUUCGUGUGGGUGGCGCAGGAGACCGAGCCCGGAGACCCAGCGAGACCUGGGGAGCUCGUCCUGGACCACAUCGUGGAGCGCAAGCGGCUGGACGACCUGAACAGCAGCAUCAUGGAUGGCCGCUUCCACGAGCAGAAGUUCCGGCUGAAGCGCUGUGGCCUGGGGCACCGGAUAUACCUAGUGGAGGAGCACUGCUCGGCGAACAACCUCAGCCUUCCGGAGAGCACGCUGCUGCAGGCUGUCACCAACACUCAGGUCAUCGACGGCUUCUUUGUGAAGCGGACGGCGGACAUUAAGGAGUCGGCUGCCUACCUGGCCCUCAUGACGCGGGGCUUACAGAGACUCUACCAGGGCCAUACCCUACGCAGUCGCCCCUGGGGAACCUCCGGGGACCCUGAAUCAAGGCCUGGGCCCUCUCCAGAUCCUCUCUGCUCACUCCUCACCUUCAGUGACUUCAACGCGGGAGCCAUCAAGAACAAGGCCCAGUCAGUGCGCGAGGUGUUCGCCCGACAGCUGAUGCAGGUGUGCGGUGUGAGUGGGGAGAAGGCAGCGGCCAUAGUGGACCGGUACAGCACCCCUGCCAGCCUACUGGCCGCCUAUGACGCCUGUGCCCACCCCCCACCCCCUCCCCCCCAGCCUACUGGCCGCCUAUGAUGCCUGUGCCACCCCCAAGGAACAGGAGUUGCUGCUGAGCACCAUCAAGUGCGGCCAACUGCAGAGGAAUCUGGGACCCGCUCUGAGCAGGACCUUGUCCCAGCUCUACUGCAGCCACGGCCCCCUGACCUGAGCCAUGCCACGAGGCCGACUCCAGCCCCCACCUUCACAGGCUAGCCAGCCUUUUAAUCAGAAUCUUUUGGGCUACGAUAAAAGUAUAACUAUUUGCAGCCUUAUGUAUUAUGAAGGUGGUGCCAGGCCCCAGGGGCCUUGUGAAAUAUCCAGGCAGGAACUGGGGAGACCAGCAGGUCCAGUGAUUUUUAAACUGAGCUCCUUAGGACCCUAGGGCUCCCUGGUGGAGCACUGAGACCACCCGGGAGAUGGAGUAAGCAAGGCACUGCAGCUUGGAAUCUAGUCCUAGGUCAUCAGACUUCCCUGAUCAAAUAAAAUUUCCUUCGAUGAGAGGUUCUGUAGUUUGGAAAAGAAAAGUUUGAAAAGCA